UACGUAGGGGGCAAGCGUUGUCCGGAUUUAUUGGGCGUAAAGGGUUCGCAGGUGGUCCUUUAAGUCAGAUGUGAAAGAUCACAGCUCAACUGUGGCAAGCAUUUGAAACUGAAGGACUUGAGUUAAGGAGAGGGAAGUGGAAUUCCUAGUGUAGCGGUGAAAUGCGUAGAUAUUAGGAGGAAUACCAGUGGCGAAGGCGACUUUCUGGACUUAUACUGACACUGAGGAGCGAAAGCGUGGAGAGCAAACAGG
rnacentral:rRNA from 1 species